rnacentral:rRNA from 1 species
GGCGNGCUUACCAUGCAGUCGAACGAUGAACCGGUUUCGGCCGGGGAUUAGUGGCGAACGGGUGAGUAACACGUGGGCAAUCUGCCCUGCACUCUGGGAUAAGCCCGGGAAACUGGGUCUAAUACCGGAUACGACACUCCGAGGCAUCUUGGAGUGUGGAAAGUUCCGGCGGUGCAGGAUGAGCCCGCGGCCUAUCAGCUUGUUGGUGGGGUAAUGGCCUACCAAGGCGACGACGGGUAGCCGGCCUGAGAGGGUGACCGGCCACACUGGGACUGAGACACGGCCCAGACUCCUACGGGAGGCAGCAGUGGGGAAUAUUGCACAAUGGGCGAAAGCCUGAUGCAGCGACGCCGCGUGAGGGAUGACGGCCUUCGGGUUGUAAACCUCUUUCAGCAGGGAAGAAGCGAAAGUGACGGUACCUGCAGAAGAAGCACCGGCUAACUACGUGCCAGCAGCCGCGGUAAUACGUAGGGUGCGAGCGUUGUCCGGAAUUAUUGGGCGUAAAGAGCUCGUAGGCGGUUUGUCGCGUCGAUUGUGAAAGCCCGGGGCUUAACCCUGGGUCUGCAGUCGAUACGGGCAGGCUAGAGUUCGGCAGGGGAGACUGGAAUUCCUGGUGUAGCGGUGAAAUGCGCAGAUAUCAGGAGGAACACCGGUGGCGAAGGCGGGUCUCUGGGCCGAUACUGACGCUGAGGAGCGAAAGCGUGGGAGA